AACGCUGGUCGCAGGCUUAAUACAUGCAAGUCGAGGGGCAGCAGGUCUGUAGCAAUACAGGCGCUGCCGACCGGCAAACGGGUGCGGAACACGUACACAACCUUCCUUUAAGCGGGGAAUAGCCCGGGGAAACCCGGAUUAAUACCUCAUAGUAUAAUGAAAGGGCAUCUUUUUAUUAUUAAAGAUUUAUCACUUGAAGAUGGGUGUGCGGCUGAUUAGGUAGUUGGCGGGGUAACGGCCCACCAAGCCUACGAUCAGUAACUGGUGUGAGAGCACGACCAGUCACACGGGCACUGAGACACGGGCCCGACUCCUACGGGAGGCAGCAGU
rnacentral:rRNA from 1 species